rnacentral:rRNA from 1 species
UACGUAGGGUGCGAGCGUUAAUCGGAAUUACUGGGCGUAAAGCGUGCGCAGGCGGUUUUGUAAGUCAGAUGUGAAAUCCUCGGGCUCAACCUGGGAACUGCGUUUGAAACUACAAGGCUAGAGUGUAGCAGAGGGGGGUAGAAUUCCACGUGUAGCAGUGAAAUGCGUAGAGAUGUGGAGGAAUACCAAUGGCGAAGGCAGCCCCCUGGGUUAACACUGACGCUCAUGCACGAAAGCGUGGGGAGCAAACAGG